UCCCUGAUAGCUCAGUUGGUAAAGAAUCUGCCUAGAAUGCAGGAGACCCAUGUUCAAUUCCUGGUUCAGGAA
rfam:TPA: Bos taurus chromosome 5, whole genome shotgun sequence.